CGGGACGGGUGAGUAACGCGUGGGUAACCUGCCUUGUACAGGGGGAUAACAGUUGGAAACGGCUGCUAAUACCGCAUAAGCGCACAGUAUCGCAUGAUGCAGUGUGAAAAACUCCGGUGGUAUAAGAUGGACCCGCGUUGGAUUAGCUAGUUGGUGAGGUAACGGCCCACCAAGGCGACGAUCCAUAGCCGACCUGAGAGGGUGACCGGCCACAUUGGGACUGAGACACGGCCCAA
rnacentral:rRNA from 1 species